UUUUUUGUAGAUUCCUAAAAGCAGAGCUGCUUGCAAAACAAAUAGAAGAAACUGCCUUCAUUGGGCUUCCCUCCUCACCCCUCAGUGAGAACCUCUGGAGUUGUACCAGGCAGCCCCAUUGCUUCAUGUAGAAGUUCUCUGGCUGUGAGUUCCAGUAAUCUGAAUACCCAGCCAUCACUGACACCUGCCCUUGCAGUCUGUGCCCCCACACACCAAGCAUUGCAGACUGGCCAUGACCAGCACAACCAUAACCGAACUCCCUUUGAGUGGCUGCUUGCUCACAAGGGUUGUGGAGGUGGGAGUAUCUGUUGGGGCUGCUUUACACCAAGGUCCUCCUGGCCAGGGUGCUGUGAGCUCCAACGUGUCAAGUAGCCAAGAUGGAGAAGCAGUGUGAAAGAUGCACUAUAUGAAAGCUGUUAUAAACCAAA